rnacentral:rRNA from 1 species
GACUGCCCUUAAACGGGAGGAAGGUGGGGACGACGUCAAGUCAUCAUGGCUCUUACGUCCAGGGCUACACACACGCUACAAUGGNCNGUACANACNGUUGCGAAGCCGUGAGGUGGAGCCAAUCCUACAAAGCCGGUCCAAGUUGGGAUUGCAGGCUGCAACUCGNCUGCAUGAACGCGGAGUUGCUAGUAAACGCAGGUCAGCAUACUGCGUUGAAUACGUUCCCGGGNCUUGNACACA